UGGGGAAUAUUGCACAAUGGGCGCAAGCCUAAUGCAGCAACGCCGCGUGAGGGACGACGGCCUUCGGGUUGUAAACCUCUUUUAGUAGGGAAGAAGCGAAAGUGACGGUACCUGCAGAAAAAGCACCGGCUAACUACGUGCCAGCAGCCGCGGUAAUACGUAGGGUGCGAGCGUUGUCCGGAAUUAUUGGGCGUAAAGAGCUCGUAGGCGGUCUGUCGCGUCUGCUGUGAAAACCCGAGGCUCAACCUCGGGCCUGCAGUGGGUACGGGCAGACUAGAGUGCGGUAGGGGAGAAUGGAAUUCCUGGUGUAGCGGUGGAAUGCGCAGAUAUCAGGAGGAACACCGAUGGCGAAGGCAGUUCUCUGGGCCGUAACUGACGCUGAGGAGCGAAAGCGUGGGGAGCGAACAGGAUUAGAUACCCUGGUAGUCCACGCCGUAAACGUUGGGCGCUAGAUGUGGGGCACCAUUCCACGGUUUCCGUGUC
rnacentral:rRNA from 1 species